rnacentral:rRNA from 2 species
UUUAUGGAGAGUUUGAUCCUGGCUCAGAGUGAACGCUGGCGGCGUGCCUAAUACAUGCAAGUCGAACGAUGAAGCUUCUAGCUUGCUAGAAGUGGAUUAGUGGCGCACGGGUGAGUAAGGUAUAGUUAAUCUGCCCUACACAAGAGGACAACAGUUGGAAACGA